rnacentral:rRNA from 1 species
UACAGGGGGGGCAAGCGUUGUUCGGAAUUACUGGGCGUAAAGGGCUCGUAGGUGGCCAACUAAGUCAGACGUGAAAUCCCUCAGCUUAACUGGGGAACUGCGUCUGAUACUGGAUGGCUUGAGUUCGGGAGAGGGAUGCGGAAUUCCAGGUGUAGCGGUGAAAUGCGUAGAUAUCUGGAGGAACACCGGUGGCGAAGGCGGCAUCCUGGACCGACACUGACGCUGAGGAGCGAAAGCCAGGGGAGCAAACGGG